rnacentral:lncRNA from 1 species
GGAUUUGUCCCGGACUAGCGAGAUGGCAAGGCUGAGGACGGGAGGCUGAUUGAGAGGCGAAGCAGUGGACAAGAAGGCUGCUGGAGCUGGCAAGGUCACCAAGUCUGCCCAGAAAGCUCAGAAGGCUAAAUGAAUAUUAUCCCUAAUACCUGCCACCCCACUCUUAAUCAGUGGUGGAAGAACGGUCUCAGAACUGUUUGUUUCAAUUGGCCAUUUAAGUUUAGUAGUAAAAGACUGGUUAAUGAUAACAAUGCAUCGUAAAACCUUCAGAAGGAAAGGAGAAUGUUUUGUGGACCACUUUGGUUUUCUUUUUUGCGUGUGGCAGUUUUAAGUUAUUAGUUUUUAAAAUCAGUACUUUUUAAUGGAAACAACUUGACCAAAAAUUUGUCACAGAAUUUUGAGACCCAUUAAAAAAGUUAAAUGAGAAACCUGUGUGUUCCUUUGGUCAACACCGAGACAUUUAGGUGAAAGACAUCUAAUUCUGGUUUUACGAAUCUGGAAACUUCUUGAAAAUGUAAUUCUUGAGUUAACACUUCUGGGUGGAGAAUAGGGUUGUUUUCCCCCCACAUAAUUGGAAGGGGAAGGAAUAUCAUUUAAAGCUAUGGGAGGGUUGCUUUGAUUACAACACUGGAGAGAAAUGCAGCAUGUUGCUGAUUGCCUGUCACUAAAACAGGCCAAAAACUGAGUCCUUGUGUUGCAUAGAAAGCUUCAUGUUGCUAAACCAAUGUUAAGUGAAUCUUUGGAAACAAAAUGUUUCCAAAUUACUGGGAUGUGCAUGUUGAAACGUGGGUUAAAAUGACUGGGCAGUGAAAGUUGACUAUUUGCCAUGACAUAAGAAAUAAGUGUAGUGGCUAGUGUACACCCUAUGAGUGGAAGGGUCCAUUUUGAAGUCAGUGGAGUAAGCUUUAUGCCAGUUUGAUGGUUUCACAAGUUCUAUUGAGUGCUAUUCAGAAUAGGAACAAGGUUCUAAUAGAAAAAGAUGGCAAUUUGAAGUAGCUAUAAAAUUAGACUAAUCUACAUUGCUUUUCUCCUGCAGAGUCUAAUACCUUUUAUGCUUUGAUAAUUAGCAGUUUGUCUACUUGGUCACUAGGAAUGAAACUACAUGGUAAUAGGCUUAACAGGUGUAAUAGCCCACUUACUCCUGAAUCUUUAAGCAUUUGUGCAUUUGAAAAAUGCUUUUCGCGAUCUUCCUGCUGGGAUUACAGGCAUGAGCCACUGUGCCUGACCUCCCAUAUGUAAAAGUGUCUAAAGGUUUUUUUUUGGUUAUAAAAGGAAAAUUUUUGCUUAAGUUUGAAGGAUAGGUAAAAUUAAAGGACAUGCUUUCUGUUUGUGUGAUGGUUUUUAAAAAUUUUUUUUAAGAUGGAGUUCUUGUUGCCCAGGCUAGAAUGCAAUGGCAAAAUCUCACUGCAAUCUCCUCCUCCUGGGUUCAAGCAAUUCUCCUACUUCAGCCUCCCAAGUAGCUGGGAUUACAGGCAUGUGCUAAUUUGGUGUUUUUAAUAGAGAUGAGGUUUUUCCAUGUUGGUCAGGCUGGUCUCAAACUCCUGACCUUAGGUGAUCGCCUCGGCCUCCUAAAGUGCUGGAAUUACAGGCAUGAGCCACCAUGCCUGGCCAGGACAUGUGUUCUUAAGGACAUGCUAAGCAGGAGUUAAAGCAGCCCAAGAGAUAAGGCCUCUUAAAGUGACUGGCAAUGUGUAUUGCUCAAGAUUCAAAGGUACUUGAAUUGGCCAUAGACAAGUCUGUAAUGAAGUGUUAUCGUUUUCCCUCAUCUGAGUCUGAAUUAGAUAAAAUGCCUUCCCAUCAGCCAGUGCUCUGAGGUAUCAAGUCUAAAUUGAACUAGAGAUUUUUGUCCUUAGUUUCUUUGCUAUCUAAUGUUUACACAAGUAAAUAGUCUAAGAUUUGCUGGAUGACAGAAAAAACAGGUAAGGCCUUUAAUAGAUGGCCAAUAGAUGCCCUGAUAAUGAAAGUUGACACCUGUAAGAUUUACCAGUAGAGAAUUCUUGACAUGCAAGGAAGCAAGAUUUAACUGAAAAAUUGUUCCCACUGGAAGCAGGAAUGAGUCAGUUUACUUGCAUAUACUGAGAUUGAGAUUAACUUCCUGUGAAACCCAGUGUCUUAGACAACUGUGGCUUGAGCACCACCUGCUGGUAUUCAUUACAAACUUGCUCACUACAAUAAAUGAAUUUUAAGCUUU